rnacentral:lncRNA from 1 species
AGGACUGAAAACAUUAUAAGAAAAUUCUACAAAAAGCUAUACAUGAACAAAUUGGAUAAUCUAAAAGAAAUGGAGAAAUUUUUAGAAUCAUACAACCUUCCAAGACUGAAUCAAGAAUAGAGAAUUUGAAUAGACCAAUCACCAGUAAGGAGAUCAAAACAGUCAACUCAGCAAGAUUGCCAAGCUCUGCUGUGUGAUUAUUACUAGGAAAAAGGGCCAUGCUUCCUACUCUGAAAGUUGAAGAGGCCAGAUACCUUCUCUCAAUGAUCACUGAAAGCUGAGAAGUGGACGACUGAUCUAGAAUCAGCCAACGGGUCCUCUCAUCCAGGGUGUUACAUUCUGAGAGCAUGGUAGAAAAUCCAAGGACACUGAGAAUCACACUUGGUGCUGAGUGUCCAGUUGUGUUCAUGGCAUCAACCUGACCAGACUGGUCCUGGGAGCUCAUCCUGGCAUGUCCUCAGCUGCCCGGCCUCUCUUGGUUCCCAUCUCUGUUCUGAGCCGGCUCCCUGUGGAGUCGCUGAGCUCUCUGAGACUCUUCUAUGAAGCUUCUCUUCUGCUUAGCAUAAAUUAUGAACCUUCUCCCUUUGCCACUGGACAUAUAAAUGGCAAAGUUUCUGCCUCCAAGAUCUAACAAUCUAAGAGGAAGAUGUUCACCAGAAAUGCUAACUGUAACGUAGGAGAUGAGGACUAUUCUGAAGUUUGGAGACUAAGUACCAGUUUCCUUGAGUGACAACCAUGAAGUUCAAGAAGGAAGAAACUUAUCUUCAGAUGCAGAGGAGGGCCCCACUUGGUUUAAGCCACUCAAAAUAAUGACAAUUCUUUGCCACUCAGAAUAAUGGCAAUUCCUUGUCAUAGUGAUUGAUACAGUUUAAGCCAAUCAGAGCAUAACAUUCCUGUAGCUACAGAGAUUGUAUCUGGGUGGUCCAAUCAGAGUGAAGCUUGGGACUUUUGUAUCAUGGUUAUAAACACUGGCCUUGGCCUUUGCUCUGCCCUUGGAUGUGAAUGUGGAGCCACCAUGAAUGCUGCUGGCAGUCAUUUUAUGAAGCCAGCCCAAGAACAAAGCCAACAUCUGAAGGCAGACAGAACUGAGAGAACUGCAGAAAAAUUGAGCCAGUGCCUGGACCAAACCAUGCCUGGACCAAGCCAU